GUGACUGAAGUUUAAACAUGAGAAUAUACAAUUUUUUAUAAAUAAAUUCCAGAUUUUCUAAGUUGGUUAUGAAUUUAUACAUUUUAAUCGGAAAAUAUGUUUUUUGUCAGCAAUGCUGAGCCAACAUUUCCAAAUACAAUUUGCAGGUAGCCUGAGGAUGGGAUUCACUGGGUGGCGGUGUGAUGUUUCACUUGCUUCACCUGUCUCUUAGCAGCGCUCCUGGCUACUGAGGUGGAGGCUUCAACCUUCACCAUUUUGACAAAAAGCUCACCCUCAUCAGAUGAAUCUUUGUCAUGUAGCUUCUGGGCCACAUUUUUCUUGCAUAUGGUGUUGUGAGGUCCAUACAUAUCCCUAAGUCUUUUCCAGAAAAUGCCCUCCAUCUCACGUUUUGGUGAGCAUCUCAUGCCGGAGAACUGAGAAAAAGCCCCUCGAGCUUCCUUCUUUACCUUCCUUUGAUGCUGUUCCAUGACAAAUCACAAUGAGACAGAGAGUUAAAAUAAAAAUCACUGCUGCUGCAAUCACAGGUACUGCCCUGGCGAGAUCGUGCUCAUACCCACACCCUGGCACUCCGGUGAGCUCACAUGACUCCUGCUCUUCCUGUUCUCCCUGGGCUGCUGUCCUCUCAUUUUUCCAUUGCUCUGUAUCCCACUGGGGCUUGGAAACCUUUACUUCUCGUUGCUCACUGAGAAGCUUCAUCAUGAAGGUUGACAAGCGGUCGCCUUUUUUGCCUGAGGAUGCCCUCACUGGCUCAGUCAUCAGCUCAGUGCUGGUAUUCUUUGGCCUUGUAAUAUUUCCAUGAAAGAGCCUUCUGUAUUUUCUAAGUAUAGCUGUUCAUCACAAUGGGUGUCAGACAUUCGCUGUCACAAUGCAGUCUGACUAUCUUGCUGACAGUCUCAUUUUUAAAUUGGCAUAGACAGCAAGCCAAAUGGCUAGGUAGUUUUUCCAAUUCAAGGGUCAUCAUGAGGAUUCUCUCAACUGUUGUGAUACUUGUGUUGUUCCUAUAUUUUACCUGUGUUGUCUAAAUAUUGUAAUGCUGGCAACUUAAAAAGAUACAAAUCUUCCAAGAGUUGUCAGGAUUACAAUUGAGAAUUAAAUACUUGAGAGAUGUAGGCCUUCAGUUGAAUCCUUAUAUAAUUCUCUCAGAUUAUUUUCACUGAGGAUUUGUUUUCAGCCCAACAGCAUGACUUCCAAGUAUCUUUAUUAAUGUAACAAAUAGAGUUCCCUUGCAUUUAAGAUAGCAAAGGUGCCAUUGUAGGCGUUGGCCUCUGGUACAGACACUUUGUGGAGCCUCUGUUUUGGGUCGAGACCAAAACAUGACAGCGUCUCACUAUUGCAGGUACAGAGCUCACAUAUGUUCAUGGUGGCAUUCUGUUAAGUCGUUGGAGGACCUGCUCAGAUGACUCUGGCUGCUGAGUUCUGAUCAAUUCCAGGUCCAAAGGUUUAACUGUGAAUUCAGACAAGGAUGACUGCUGAACCUAAACAGGCUCUGGAUGAGGAACUUUCAUGUAGUCCUUUGCAGGGAUAUAGGGUAUUUCAGCUUCUACAAUAGGUUCUGGUGUUACGGUGACCUCCAGGUCCAAAUGUCUGAAAUGAUUUCAGACAAGAUUGGCUGCUAAGCCUGAACAGGCUCUAAACAUGGAAGUAUCACCUCAGGGUUUGCUGAAGAAGGUGUACGCUGCUGCAGGGCUGUAGGAUGUCCAGCCACCACAGUAGGUUCUGGUGUUACGUUGAGCUCCAGGUCCAAAGGAUGAACUGGGAAAUCACAAAGGGUUGGCUACUAAGCCUGAACAGGCUCUAAAUAUGGAAGUGUCACCUCAGAGUCUUUUGGGGAAGCUAUAUUCUGCUGCAGGCUGUAGGAUAUUCAACCUUCACAAUAGGUAUUGGUGUUAUGAUGAACACCAGGCCCUUAGGUUGAACUGUGACUUCAGAUAUGUUGGCUGCUGAGCCAGAACAGGUUCUUGAUGUAGAAGUGUCACUGCUGGGUGCUUUGAAGGAGCUGUACUCAGUUGCAGGGCUACCAAAAGUUCAGCCUGCACUUGGGCUCUGGUGUGGUGAGCUCCAGGUCCAAAAGUAGAACUGUGACUUUAGACAGGGUUGGCUCCUGAGCCUGAAGGCUGGUGUAUGCGAAAGUGUCACCUCAGGGUGCUUUGAAGGAUCUAUAGUCUGUUGCUGGGUGGUAGUACGUACAGACUCCACAGUAGGUUCUGGGUUUAUGUCGAGCUCGAAGUCCAAAGUUGAACUGUGAUUUUACACAAGGUUGGCUGCUGAGCCUGAACAGGCUGUGGAUGUGGAAGUGUCACCUAAGAGUGCUUUGAAGAAGCUGUACUCUGAUGCAGGGAUGUGGAAUGUUCAGCCUCCAAAGUAGGUUCUGGUGUCAUGAUGAGCUCCAGACCCACAUGUUGAACUGUGACUUGACACAGGAUUUGCUGCUGAGCCUGAACAACUCUGGAUAUGAAAAGCGUCACCUAAGAGUGCUAUAGAGGAACUGCAGUCUGCUUUAAGGCUGUAGGAUGUUCAGCAUCCACAGUAGGCUCUGGUGUCAUGGUGAACUCCAGGUCCACAAUGAACUAUGAAUUCACACAAUGUUAAGUCUUGAGCCUGAACAGGGUCUAGAUGUGAAAGUGUCACCUCAGGGUUUUGGAGCUGUACUGUGCUGCGGGACUGUAGAAUGUUCAGUCUCCACAGUAGACUCUGGUGUUAGGGUGAGUUCCAGGUCCAAGGAAUGAACUGUGACUUCACACAUGUUUAGCUACUGAGCAAGACAGGCUCUAAAUGUCAGAGUGUCACCUCAGGAUUCUUUGGAGCAUCAUAUUCUGCCACUGGGCUGUAGGAUGUUGGGUCUCCCCUGUAGGUUCUGGUGUCAUAGUGAGCUCCAUGUCCAAGGUUGAACUUUGCAUUCACUGUUAGCUAUUGAGCCUGAACAGGCUCUAAAUCUGAAAGUGUCCCCUCCUGGUUUUGGAGAAGCUGUGCUCUGCUGCAGGACUGUAGGAUGUUCAGUCUCCACGGUAGGUUCUGGGUUUAUGGUGGCUCCAAGUCUAAAAGUUGAACCGUGAUUUCAUGCUAGGUUGGCUGCUGAGCCUGAACAGUGUGUGGAUGUGGAAGUGUCACUUCAGGGUGCUUUGGAGGAGCUGUCGUGGGCCCCAGGGCUGUAAGAUGUGCAGCCUCCACAGUAGGUACUGGUGUUAUGGUGAGCUCCAGGUCCUGAGGUUGAACUGUGAGUUCAGACAAGGUUGCAGUGGAGCCUUCAUUCGGGGGAGUCUGAACAGGCUCUGGAUGUGGAAAUACCACUUCAGAGUGUUUUGUUGGGUCUGUAGUCUCCUGCAGGGCUGUAGUGUCAGCUUCCAGUAUAGGCUGAGCUGAUGUCUUUUGCUGUGAUAGAGAUGUUUUUUUAUCUCCUCAAUGUUCUUUGGAGGGACACACUGCUUGGUUGGAGGUUUUCUCACUUCAGUUGAUUUUGCAGGGUGAGCUGAGACCUCUUUUCAGUUACAGAUGGCUUAAUCCCUUUAGGGUGCUCUGAUGUUUUUAAGACCCCAAGAUCCACAUUUAAUAACAUUUGAUUAGGCAACACUGAAUGCUGAGCUUCACCCAUACCUAGAGUUUAGACUGUCAUCUCAUGAUACGUUGAAUGUUGAGCUACACCAUUUAUAGAGGAUUUUGGAGGUUGAACUGAACCCUUCUGCUGGACUGGAGAAGGUUCUACACUGUCAAGAGGCAACUGAGGCAGAGUCAAGCUCUUUGGCUGGAUUAAAGCUUCAAUGUCUUCAGGGUGGUGGGGUGUUGGAUGCUGGUCUAAAACUUCUUAAUAGACUAACGAAGAUUUCAACAAUUAGGGGACACAACAGGCUGAGCUAUGUCUUCUCCUGGACUAAAGAUGAUUCUUUUGCAUUAGGGGUUUCUGGUUGGUGAGCUGGGGCCUUCUGAUGGGUUGGAGAAGGUUCCAUUUCCUCAGAGGACUCUAUAGGCAGAACUGAGGCUUCCUGUUGGGAUGAUAAAGGUUCAGCAUUUUCAGAGGUAUAUGAAGGCUCAAAUGCGAGGUUUUGCUGAUCCAGGCCAGGCCUUGGUGAGCCCACAGGGAAACGGAGGUCACCAGGACAGGGUCUAGGGCUAACUCCGGAGACUGAGGUACCUGGAGCAGCAGCCACAACAGCUGCCAUGUGAAGAGGAGCCAUGGGGCCCAGAGGUGCAGCCUGGGCACAACAGGCAGAGGUCCAAGGCACAGCAAGUGACCCAAGCAAGUGGGAUGCUGGCCCCACUUACUGAGCAAGAGCCAACAAUUGGCAGCUGUGUCACAAUUGGCAUCUGUGUCACGCAUGUGCCCCUUAGCAACAAAGCACUCCUCCCCCACCUCAGGUUCCAACCUUUAUUUAGGCAACAUUUAUUAGUCUUGGGUUGAGAGCAACUGCAGAAGACAGGCUUUUUCCCAGAAUCACCAGGGACCAAGCAGUCCUUUUCCCCUGCAGAGGGGACAACUACCUCUUGCCAGUGCUCCCCUCCCUCCUCACAGUGAGGCAGGAUUUAAGCUGCACAACUGAGUGGCCCCAGACUCCAUCAGCCCAGAGACGGUGGGAUUGGGAGUGGGGGUUGUUAAUGAAGGUGAGGUAUGGAGGUUGGUGCACAGCUUCCCAAGGAAGCCACAGGGCCUGACAUCCCCAGAAAUUCAGAAGUGCUAGUCCAGUUCUGGCAAUCUGAACUCCUCAAAGCUGAAAUCUGAGAGACAUUCUUCUUCUCUUUGGCCAUACUGCUUCCAAGAAAAGUAGAUGACAGCUUUUCCAGUCCAAGGGUCAUAAUGAGGAUGCUCUCAACUGUUCUGACACUUGUGUUAUUCCCAUGUCUCAGUCUCAAUGUGGCUUCUUUUGUAAGUCCUUGGUUAUAAGGCUUCUCUCCAGCUAGUCUUCAGUUCAUUACUCAGGAUUAUGUUUCUAUAAUUUAAUUGUAAAUCCAGUUUGAUCCUGGGAAUGUAACAAGGAAUAAAUAAUUUGUACCACUCUCACUUACCAUGAAAUAGUUAGAAUAAGAUACACUAACAAACUGAUAAAAAGAACUCACAUACUGACAGUUUAUAAGCAUAUAGGAAACACCAGCAGUUCCAGUUCCUGCUUGUACAAGAAACAGCCUUUACCAUGACUUCAGGUGAUGCAGCGUGCCCAACUAUCUGGGAUGCUAUAGAAAUCAAUAGGUGCUCUAUGGUGGUAGGUACUGCUCAGCAACUAAGAAAACCUCAGUUCUCCCAGUGUGGGACUUGGAGCACACUUGGUGUUUUGACUUACGGAUUUCUCAGUUUUGAGUAUUUGUUCUGUUUGAGAGCUCUCAUCUGUUCUGUUUGGGGGCUCUCUGAGAACUCUUGUCUGUCUGCAAUGAAGCUUUGGUUUCCGUUGUUCUUUGAUUGCUUUCUUAUCCUGUAAGGACUUGGCUUGCUCUUUGCUGUUUUGUGCAUACAGUGAAUCCUCUGACUCUACCAUUUGGACUUUGUGCCUUUUAGACAUCGUGAAAGUCAUUUGCAAUAAUGUCCCAGUCUCUCCUUUUAGAAUAUGGGUGUCAAACUCAUUUUCACCGGGGGCCACAUCAGCCUUGAGGUUGCCUUCAAAGGGCUGAAUGUAAUUUUAGGACUGUAUAAAUGUAACUACUCCUUAACUAGGGGCAAGGACCUUGGUGCUGCCAUCAGGUACAAAUAAGGUACCAGGCCGAAUAAAAUAAGGUGGAGGGCCAGAUUUGACCCACGGGCCUUGUGUGACUGGUCAACUUAUGCUAAGUCAAUGACUAAUUAGAAUCAUUUGCCAAAGUUUUGGUAAACAGAAUAAGAUUUCUUAUAUGCAAGCUUUCAUAUUGUUACACCACAAGGAUUCUACUCAGAAUGUAAAUUGAUAGUGCAAAGAGAGGAAAAGAUCUCACUCCCCUCCCAGACUGUAAAACUCAGAAAGUACAAAAAAUGAGGAGAUAAGUUUUAUAUACACUCUAAAUCCUCCUCCUAGAGGUCCGGGAGUCGCUGCAGUCCUGGAAACAAUAGGAAAAUUACUGCCAACCCCAGAGCAGGCUGAAGGAGUUGGGGCAACUAUGCCACCUCAAUGUGAAAAAAAAAUGGAACUUUUUAAAUAACUCAAGUGGCUAAAUCAAGACAAGUCCAAUAUCUCCCUCACCUCUCCUCCAGGCUCCUUAAAGUUGUCAAGGACAUAUUUUAAAAAAAAGAAAAUCUUGUCUCCUGUUAUGUGUAUGG